rnacentral:rRNA from 1 species
UACGUAGGGGGCUAGCGUUGUCCGGAAUCAUUGGGCGUAAAGCGCGUGUAGGCGGUCCGGUAAGUCCGCUGUGAAAGUCGAGGGCUCAACCCUCGAAUGCCGGUGGAUACUGUCGGGCUAGAGUGCGGAAGAGGCGAGUGGAAUUCCUGGUGUAGCGGUGAAAUGCGCAGAUAUCUGGAGGAACACCGGUGGCGAAGGCGGCAUCCUGGACCGAGAUUGACGCUGAGGCGCGAAAGCCAGGGGAGCAAACGGG